GCCCUUAGAGUUUGAUCCUGGCUCAGAACGAACGCUGGCGGCAGGCUUAACACAUGCAAGUCGAACGAGAAAGCACCUUCGGGUGCGAGUAUAGUGGCGAACGGGUUAGUAACGCGUGGGAACAUACACAGCACUGGGGGAUAACCNAUUGGAAACGAUGGCUAAUACCGCAUACGCCCUACGGGGGAAAGAUUUAUUGGUGUUGGAUUGGCCCGCGUUAGAUUAGUUUGUUGGUGAGGUAAUGGCUCACCAAGGCUACGAUCUAUAGCUGGUUUGAGAGGAUGAUCAGCAACACUGGAACUGAGACACGGUCCAGACUCCUACGGGAGGCAGCNGUGGGGAAUAUUGCACAAUGGGGGAAACCCUGAUGCAGCCNUGCCGCGUGGGUGAAGAAGGCCUUAGGGUUGUAAAGCUCUUUCAGAUGUGAGGAUGAUGACGAUAACNUCAAAAGAAGCUCCGGCUAACUUCGUGCCAGCAGCCGCGGUAAUAAGGGCG
rnacentral:rRNA from 1 species